UCCCCGGUGGCUCCAUUGGUAAAGAAUCUGCCUGCUGUGCAGGACCCCUAGGUUCAAUCCCUAGCUUGGGAA
rnacentral:tRNA from 1 species